GGGUGUAGCUCAGUGGUAGAGUACUGGCCUAAAAGUAGAGAAGUUCUGGAUUCAAUCCCCAGUACCACA
rnacentral:tRNA from 1 species